CAGCAGCCGCGGUAACACGGAGGGUGCAAGCGUUAAUCGGAAUUACUGGGCGUAAAGCGUGCGUAGGCGGUUCGUUAAGUCUGUUGUGAAAGCCCCGGGCUCAACCUGGGAAUGGCAAUGGAUACUGGCGAGCUAGAGUGUGUCAGAGGAUGGUGGAAUUCCCGGUGUAGCGGUGAAAUGCGUAGAGAUCGGGAGGAACAUCAGUGGCGAAGGCGGCCAUCUGGGACAACACUGACGCUGAGGCACGAAAGCGUGGGGAGCAAACAGGAUUAGAUACCCGUGUAGUCCCUGUCUCUUAUAC
rnacentral:rRNA from 1 species